rnacentral:rRNA from 1 species
UACGGAGGGGGCAAGCGUUGUUCGGAAUUACUGGGCGUAAAGCGCACGUAGGCGGCUUUGUAAGUUAGAGGUGAAAGCCCAGGGCUCAACCCUGGAAUUGCCUUUAAGACUGCAUCGCUUGAAUCAUGGAGAGGUGAGUGGAAUUCCGAGUGUAGAGGUGAAAUUCGUAGAUAUUCGGAAGAACACCAGUGGCGGAAGGCGGACUCACUGGACAUGUAUUGACGCUGAGGUGCGAAAG